UAUGUACUCCCGCCGUCCGAAAAAGAUUGUUCUUUAAUGGUUGUAUCUAGCAUCAAGUUAGUGUUAGAUACAUCCAUUUGAAGCACAAGCUUGGGACAAGUUUUUUCAGACGGAGGGAGUAUGAA
rnacentral:pre_miRNA from 1 species